UGGGGAAUUUUGGACAAUGGGCGCAAGCCUGAUCCAGCCAUGCCGCGUGCGGGAAGAAGGCCUUCGGGUUGUAAACCGCUUUUGUCAGGGAAGAAAUCCUUUGAGCUAAUACCUCGGGGGGAUGACGGUACCUGAAGAAUAAGCACCGGCUAACUACGUGCCAGCAGCCGCGGUAAUACGAAGGGGGCUAGCGUUGCUCGGAAUUACUGGGCGUAAAGGGAGCGUAGGCGGACAUUUAAGUCAGGGGUGAAAUCCCGGGGCUCAACCUCGGAAUUGCCUUUGUGACUGCAUAGCUAGAGUACGGUAGAGGGGGAUGGAAUUCCGCGUAUAACAGUGCAAUGCGUAGAUAUGCGGAGGAACACCGAUGGCGAAGGCAAUCCCCUGGACCUGUACUGACGAUCAUGCACGAAAGCGGGGGGAGCAAACA
rnacentral:rRNA from 1 species